AGGGAAUCUUCCGCAAUGGACGAAAGUCUGACGGAGCAACGCCGCGUGAGUGAUGAAGGUUUUCGGAUCGUAAAGCUCUGUUGCCAGGGAAGAACGUCUUCUGGAGUAACUGCCAGGAGAGUGACGGUACCUGAGAAGAAAGCCCCGGCUAACUACGUGCCAGCAGCCGCGGUAAUACGUAGGGGGCAAGCGUUGUUCGGAAUUAUUGGGCGUAAAGCGCGCGCAGGCGGCUGUUUAAGUCUGGUGUUUAAUCCUGGGGCUCAACCCCGGGUCGCACUGGAAACUGGACGGCUUGAGUGCAGAAGAGGAGAGUGGAAUUCCACGUGUAGCGGUGAAAUGCGUAGAGAUGUGGAGGAACACCAGUGGCGAAGGCGGCUUUCUGGUCUGUAACUGACGCUGAGGCGCGAAAGCGUGGGGAGCAAAC
rnacentral:rRNA from 1 species